AGAAGUGUUUGUCUUUGAUUGAUGAAUCAGCGACAACCAUCUGGCGGUCGAAUGAGUUCUGUCAAAUCGGACCAGAAGCUCUUCAAGCCAUCCUUCAACGGGAUACUUUAACCGCCAACGAACAUACCAUUUGUUCUUCUGUUACCAAGUGGGCUACCAACAUGUGCACGCAAAAGGACAUGGAAGCUUGCUCCGCCAACCUAAGGGAAGUAUUGGGCGACAUGUUGUAUUUAGUCCGAUUCCCUCUUUUGACCGACACUCAGCUGCGGGAUGGGCCUGUCAAGAGCGGUUUGUUGCUGUAUUCGGAGGCAGUGGACAUCUACCUCUACAAGCAUGCCAUCAUCAUACCCCAGCUGCCAUUCCCUACGGAGCCUCGGCAAAAUGAACGCGCUGCGGGUGUCAUUAAUUACACAAUUCCCGAUAUCAGAGAGCUGCAAGAAGCGUGCUCGUAUUCGUUCAGCGAAAAGAUAACCGUCC